rnacentral:rRNA from 1 species
AAUUGGAGGGCAAGUCUGGUGCCAGCAGCCGCGGUAAUUCCAGCUCCAAUAGCGUAUAUUAAAGUUGUUGCAGUUAAAAAGCUCGUAGUUGAAUUUCGGGAUCAAUAUUUCGGUCAUGCCGUUGGUAUGCACUGUUAUCAUUGAUUUCUCACCUUCUAGAGAACCGUAAUGCCAUUAAUUUGGUGUUACGGGGAAUUAGGACUGUUACCUUGAAAAAAUUAGAGUGUUUAAAGCAGGCUCACGCUUGAAUACAUUAGCAUGGAAUAAUGAAAUAGGACAUCCGAUUCUAUUUUGUUGGUUUCUAGGAUCGAUGUAAUGAUUAAUAGGGAUAGUUGGGGGCAUUAGUAUUCAAUUGUCAGAGGUGAAAUUCUUGGAUUUAUUGAAGACUAACUACUGCGAAAGCAUUUGCCAAGGAUGUUUUCAUUAAUCAAGAACGAAAGUUAGGGGAUCGAAGACGAUCAGAUACCGUCGUAGUCUUAACCAUAAACUAUGCCGACUAGGGAUCGGAUGAUGUUAAUUUUUUAAUGACUCAUUCGGCGCCUUACGGGAAACCAAAGUGU